rnacentral:lncRNA from 1 species
UAUAGGAUCUUCAGAAGAAUAGCCGGCAUAGCAUAUCAGUGCACGUGUGGAGCCAGUUGAGAUCAUAGGCAGUAGUAGCAGUCUCAAGGUAAUAAUGCAUUGCAGGUCAUGUACAAUUUAAGUUAUUAUUGAAAACUUGCACUGCAAAGGUAAGAAGAGAUUAUUCAUGUCUGCUCUGAGUACCAGAAGAGGGACAUAAUUAGCUAUUAACUGAAUGUUUGGUCGAAUUUCGCAGGUGUGACGACUCACUGGAGAAGGACCGCUAUACACCUGCUUGAUGACUCCAGCAUUUUAUGGGUGUGCUUAAAACGCUGCAGAGGUUCACUCAUGCGAGGUAAAUAGGCCCCGGUAAACUGCAGCUCUGCAAGAUAGCUACAUGUUCUUAUCAGAUAAAUUGACUGGGAAACAUUUCAGAGUUGGCUCCCCAAGGACGAUGAUGAAUUGACUUGCUAAGGAAGAAGCAGCAGAAACACAGCCCAGGCUAGACGAAGCGUAACCUGCAGAUGGGUAUAUCUGAAGCCUGUCAGCCUUGUUAUGCCGCUUAGAAUAAAAUUGCUGCAAUGAGUAGGUACAUAUCGUGUCUGCGAUGGUUAGUAUUUCGGUAAUUCGGUAUUGGUGUAGCCUGUGUAGCACAAAAUAUUCUGACCCUGACGGGCAGAACCACGCCAAUUACUUACACAUUCCCCUCUUUGUCAGGAACAAGCAGACCACAUCUUCUGAAGAAAUCGACGCUUUUCAUGUUGUUAACUGAAGAAAUCGACAUCCAGCGGUUGGCGCCAAACCAGGAAAUUGUCGACCGCCCGAUCUUCAUCUAACAGCAACUUACCGCCUCGCCCCGAACACAUUGCCACCCUUGAUAGUUGCAAUUUGAAUUACCGUCUGCUGCUUCAUUGUUCACCUGCCUUACUUUAGUAGCGUUAUGAAGUUACCCUUUUCAGUGGUUGUAAUGGGUAUAAAGCCCCGGAUCUGAGAGCGCUCGGGCUCAUCUUCCUGAACUUGGAGUAAACCCUAAGUCGUUCGCUAUAUUUCUCUUGCAAUCAUCCUAUGAAUUCACCUACUUGGCUACUUGGUGUGAUCUGCAAGUGAUUUAGUUUUUUGAACUAGUUGGGUCGAUCAUCACCAAGUUAAGACUGUGAAGUCCCAAGAUGUCGUCA